AACGCACCUUGCACCCUUUGGUAUUCCGAAGGGUACACCCGUUUGAGUGUCAUUGUAAUCUCACUCCACCACCAGCUUUUUGUUGAUGGAUGUGGACCUGGACUUUGUUGUGUUACUACAACUGGUCUGAAAUGGAUGAGUGCACCCUGCUGUUGCAGCGUCUUCAGUGUGAUAAGCAUCUUCACUGGAUCAAGUUCCUUCCGGACACGCAUGCAUUGUGGGCUCUGUGCUGGCAAACUGUCUUUGGACAAUCUUGACAAUUUGACCUCAGAUCGGGUGGGACUACCCGCUGAACUUAA
rnacentral:misc_RNA from 1 species